rnacentral:rRNA from 1 species
UGCCGACUGGCUUUACGGAGUAUCGACCCUCUGUGAGGCGAAGCUAACGCGUUAAGUCGGCCGCCUGGGUAGUACGGCCGCAAGGCUAAAACUCAAAGGAAUAGACGGGGGCUUGCACAAGCGGUGGAGCGUGUGGCUUAAUUCGUAGCUAAGCGAAGAACCUUACCAGGGCUAGAAAUCCUACUGCACGCCUCGGGAAACCGAGGAAGCCUUCGAGGGUGUAGGACAGGUGAUGCAUGGCUGUCGUCAG